GAUGAACGCUGGCGGCGUGCCUAAUACAUGCAAGUCGAGCGAACGGACGAGGAGCUUGCUUUUCUGAUGUUAGCGGCGGACGGGUGAGUAACACGUGGAUAACCUACCUAUAAGACUGGGAUAACUUCGGGAAACCGGAGCUAAUACCGGAUAAUAUUUUGAACCGCAUGGUUCAAAAGUGAAAGACGGUCUUGCUGUCACUUAUAGAUGGAUCCGCGCUGCAUUAGCUAGUUGGUAAGGUAACGGCUUACCAAGGCAACGAUGCAUAGCCGACCUGAGAGGGUGAUCGGCCACACGGGAAAGGAGACACGGUCCAGACUCCUACGGGAGGCAGCAGUAGGGAAUCUUCCGCAAUGGGCGAAAGCCUGACGGAGCAACGCCGCGUGAGUGAAGAAGGUCUUCGGAUCGUAAAACUCUGUUAUUAGGGAAGAACAAAUGUGUAAGUAACUAUGCACGUCUUGACGGUACCUAAUCAGAAAGCCACGGCUAACUACGUG
rnacentral:rRNA from 1 species